UACGUAGGGUGCGAGCGUUGUCCGGAAUUAUUGGGCGUAAAGAGCUCGUAGGCGGUGUGUCACGUCGGCCGUGAAAACCUGGGGCUUAACUCUGGGCGUGCGGUCGAUACGGGCAUCACUAGAGUUCGGUAGGGGAGACUGGAAUUCCUGGUGUAGCGGUGAAAUGCGCAGAUAUCAGGAGGAACACCGGUGGCGAAGGCGGGUCUCUGGGCCGAAACUGACGCUGAGGAGCGAAAGCGUGGGGAGCAAACAGG
rnacentral:rRNA from 1 species